UAACACGUAUCCAACCUGCCGUCUACUCUUGGACAUCCUUCUGAAAGGAAGAUUAAUACAAGAUGGCAUCAUGAGUUCACAUGUUCACAUGAUUAAAGGUAUUCCGGUAGACGAUGGGGAUGCGUUCCAUUAGAUAGUAGGCGGGGUAACGGCCCACCUAGUCUUCGAUGGAUAGGGGUUCUGAGAGGAAGGUCCCCCACAUUGGAACUGAGACACGGUCCAAACUCCUACGGGAGGCAGCAGUGAGGAAUGUUGGUCAAUGGGCGAGAGCCUGAACCAGCCAAGUAGCGUGAAGGAUGACUGCCCUAUGGGUUGUAAACUUCUUUUAUAAAGGAAUAAAGUCGGGUAUGCAUACCCGUUUGCAUGUACUUUAUGAAUAAGGAUCGGCUAACUCCGUGCCAGCAGCCGCGGUAAUACGGAGGAUCCGAGCGUUAUCCGGAUUUAUUGGGUUUAAAGGGAGCGUAGAUGGAUGUUUAAGUCAGUUGUGAAAGUUUGCGGCUCAACCGUAAAAUUGCAGUUGAUACUGGAUAUCUUGAGUGCAGUUGAGGCAGGCGGAAUUCGUGGUGUAGCGGUGAAAUGCUUAGAUAUCACGAAGAACUCCGAUUGCGAAGGCAGCCUGCUAAGCUGCAACUGACAUUGAGGCUCGAAAGUGUGGGUAUCAAACAGGAUUAGAUACCCUGGUAGUCCACACGGUAAACGAUGAAUACUCGCUGU
rnacentral:rRNA from 1 species